rnacentral:rRNA from 1 species
AUUGAACGCUGGCGGCAUGCCUUACACAUGCAAGUCGAACGGCAGCACGGGGCAACCUGGUGGCGAGUGGCGAACGGGUGAGUAAUGCAUCGGAACGUGCCAUUGAGUGGGGGAUAACGUAGCGAAAGUUGCGCUAAUACCGCAUAUUCUGUGAGCAGGAAAGCAGGGGGACCGCAAGGCCUUGCGCUCUUUGAGCGGCCGAUGUCAGAUUAGCUAGUUGGUGAGGUAACGGCUUACCAAGGCGACGAUCUGUAGCGGGUCUGAGAGGAUGAUCCGCCACACUGGAACUGAGACACGGUCCAGACUCCUACGGGAGGCAGCAUGGGGAAUUUUGGGACAAUGGGCGCAAGGCCUGAUCCAGCCAUGCCGCGUGAGUGAAGAAGGCCUUCGGG